AACGAACGCUGGCGGCAGGCCUAACACAUGCAAGUCGAGCGAAGCCUUCGGGCUUAGCGGCGGACGGGUGAGUAACGCGUGGGAACGUGCCCUUUGGUACGGAAUAGCCCCGGGAAACUGGGAGUAAUACCGUAUGUGCCCUUCGGGGGAAAGAUUUAUCGCCAAAGGAUCGGCCCGCGUUGGAUUAGGUAGUUGGUGGGGUAAUGGCCUACCAAGCCGACGAUGCAUAGCUGGUUUGAGAGGAUGAUCAGCCACACUGGGACUGAGACACGGCCCAGACUCCUACGGGAGGCAGCAGUGGGGAAUCUUAGACAAUGGGGGAAACCCUGAUCUAGCCAUGCCGCGUGAUCGAUGAAGGCCUUAGGGUUGUAAAGAUCUUUCAGUGGGGAAGAUAAUGACUGUACCCACAGUAGAAGCCCCGGCUAACUCCGUGCCAGCAGCCGCGGUAAAAC
rnacentral:rRNA from 1 species